CUACGGGGUGCAGCAGUGGGGAAUAUUGGACAAUGGGCGAAAGCCUGAUCCAGCCAUGCCGCGUGUGUGAAGAAGGCCUUCGGGUUGUAAAGCACUUUCAGUGGGGAAGAAAGCCUUGGGGCUAAUACCCUCGAGGAAGGACAUCACCCACAGAAGAAGCACCGGCUAACUCCGUGCCAGCAGCCGCGGUAAUACGGAGGGUGCGAGCGUUAAUCGGAAUUACGGGGCGUAAAGCGCGCGUAGGCGGUCUGAUAAGCCGGUUGUGAAAGCCCCGGGCUCAACCUGGGAACGGCAUCCGGAACUGUCAGGCUAGAGUGCAGGAGAGGAAGGUAGAAUUCCCGGUGUAGCGGUGAAAUGCGUAGAGAUCGGGAGGAAUACCAGUGGCGAAGGCGGCCUUCUGGACUGACACUGACGCUGAGGUGCGAAAGCGUGGGUAGCAAACAGGAUUAGAUACCCGAGUAGUC
rnacentral:rRNA from 1 species